rnacentral:rRNA from 1 species
AUUGAACGCUGGCGGCAUGCCUUACACAUGCAAGUCGAACGGUAACAGGUCUUCGGAUGCUGACGAGUGGCGAACGGGUGAGUAAUACAUCGGAACGUGCCUAGUAGUGGGGGAUAACUACUCGAAAGAGUGGCUAAUACCGCAUGAGAUCUACGGAUGAAAGCAGGGGAUCGCAAGACCUUGUGCUACUAGAGCGGCCGAUGGCAGAUUAGGUAGUUGGUGGGAUAAAAGCUCACCAAGCCGACGAUCUGUAGCUGGUCUGAGAGGACGAUCAGCCAACCUGGGACUGAGACACGGCCCAGACUCCUACGGGAGGCAGCAGUGUGUAAUUUUGGUCAAUGGGCGCAAGCCUGAUCCAGCAAUGCCGCGUGCAGGAUGAAGGCCUUCGGGUUGUAAACUGCUUUUGUACGGAACGAAAAGCCCUGGGUUAAUACCCUGGGGUCAUGACGGUACCGUAAGAAUAAGCACCGGCUAACUACGUGCCAGCCGCCGCCGUAAGAC